ACCUACCUUACAUUGGGGGAUAGCCUUUCGAAAGGGAGAUUAAUACCGCAUAAGACAGUAACUGGGCAUCCAGUAGCUGUUAAAGAUUUAUCGAUGUAAGAUGGGCAUGCGACCAAUUAGUUAGUUGGCGAGGUAACGGCUCACCAAGACUAUGAUUGGUAGGGGAACUGAGAGGUCAAUCCCCCACACUGGCACUGAGAUACGGGCCAGACUCCUACGGGAGGCAGCAGUAGGGAAUAUUGGGCAAUGGACGCAAGUCUGACCCAGCCAUGCCGCGUGCAGGAUGAAGGCGUUAUGCGUCGUAAACUGCUUUUAUACAGGAAGAAACGACUCUUGCGAGAGGCAUUGACGGUACUGUAUGAAUAAGCACCGGCUAACUCCGUGCCAGCAGCCGCGGUAAUACGGAGGGUGCAAGCGUUGUCCGGAUUUAUUGGGUUUAAAGGGUGCGCAGGUGGUUUAUUAAGUCAAUGGUGAAAGACGGUCGCUCAACGAUUGCAGUGCCAUUGAAACUAGUAGACUUGAGUAAAGUAGAGGUGGGCGGAAUUGAUAGUGUAGCGGUGAAAUGCAUAGAUAUUAUCAAGAACUCCAAUUGCGUAGGCAGCUCACUUGGCUUUUACUGACACUCAUGCACGAAAGUGUGGGUAUCAAACAGGAUUAGAUACCCUGGUAGUCCACACUGUAAACGAUGAUAACUAGGUGUCGGCCGAAU
rnacentral:rRNA from 1 species